CCUACGGGAGGCAGCAGUGAGGAAUAUUGGUCAAUGGGCGCGAGCCUGAACCAGCCAAGUAGCGUGAAGGAUGACUGCCCUACGGGUUGUCAACUUCUUUUAUAAAGGAAUAAAAUUAUGCACUUGUGCCUUUGUGUAUGUACUUUAUGAAUAAGGAUAGGCUAACUUCGUUCCAGCAGCCGCGGUAAUACGGAGGAUCCGAGCGUUAUCCGGAUGUGUUGGGCUUAAAGGGAGCGUAGAGGGGUUGUUAAGUCAGUUGUGAAAGUUUGCGGCUCAACCGUAAAAUUGCAAUUGAUACUGGCAGUCUAGAGUACAGUAGAGGUAGGCGGAAU
rnacentral:rRNA from 1 species